CCUCACCCUGGAAAGACACAUGGCCAAGGGCAGUCAGCUGGAGGCCAGGCAUUCUGCUCAAAGAUGCUCUGGGCUGGGGUAGGGAGCUCUGGGAGAGGAGAGGGCGGGGGUCUGUCACUGCCAGCAGUGUCCCAUUUGUUCUUGGCCCCGUAGAUACUUAAGUAGUUUUUGAAGAAAUGGAUGAAAUUCCAACGGUUGAACUCUGUCAUCACCAUUAUUAACAUCAUAAUAACCGACAUUACCAUGAAAAUUCCCACCGUAACCACCACCAUCAUCAUUAUUCUCAUCACCUUAAAUAUCACCCCCAUUCACAUCACCAAUAUCAUCAUAAGUAAACAACCAAUAUAGUCCUUACUAUUGUCAUUGUCUCUGUCAAGGUCACUAAUUGUCUGCGCAAUCUCACAAUCAUUAUCACAUCAUCACUGUCACCUGACCCUUCAGAAUCACCAGCAACAACGUCAUUAUCGGAAUCACUAAUACCAUUAUCGCCGUCUCUCACAUCACUGUUCUCCCUACCACUGUCUUCACCACCACCAGCAGCAUCACCAACUUCUAUCCAAGGUUAUCGCCACCCCGCUAUCUUCAGUUCCGUAUCCCUCAUGGCUGUCAUCACCUGGAGAGCCACCAUGAGCAGGGGCCUCCAGCGCCCAUCCUGUUCCAUCCUGUCUGCUGCGACAGGGAGGGAAGUGGGUUGGGAGAGCCAAGAGGCAACAGCCCCCUCCUCCUUUUGGAUGAGUCAGACCACACCCAGAGGGGAUUACGCAGCCCUGCGACCACACUAUGAGGAAGCUCAUGGCUACCCUGUAGUGUGCCCCUCCACCUAGGUGAGGAUGGCCUCUGUGCAACUCCUGAAAAAAAGGUCUCUGAUCCCAGGAAAGAGAAGACUAGGGGUGAUACAAUUAUGGUCUUCUGAUUGCACCAAAGAGGGAAGGAAAUAAAGAUAGAUAAUGGUUAAUGGUUACUAAGCACUUACUACCACCCCAGUGCUGUUCUAAUGACAAAUCCAUUAACUCAUGGAACCCUCACAGCAACUUUCUGAAGUAGGUACCAUUGUAAUCCUUAUUUUUCAGGAGAUAGAACUGGGACAGAGAGAGAUGAAGUAACCUGCCUGGUCACACAACUACCCGAGACCAAGAUUAGAAGCAACAAGUUCCAUGGAGAAAGACUGAAGCCCAAUGUGACGAGCAGCUUGGAUGAGCCUGCCCUGGGAGGAAGUGAGUUCCCCAUCAUUAGGAGCAUGCAAGCACAAACUGACUUCGCCCUGGUCUGGGGUGCUAUAUACCAUGGGGAAGGGUGGGUUGGGCUGGAGAGCUCAUCUGAGGUCUCUGGUUCUGCCUCUUCUCUCCCCACAGAGCCUCUGUGAGGUCCCCAUAAGCUUCAUCCUCUGACUGGUGUCUGACACCUUCUCUUCUGUCUCCCAUCUUUUUUUUUUUU